rnacentral:rRNA from 1 species
UACGUAGGGGGCAAGCGUUGUCCGGAUUUAUUGGGCGUAAAGAGCUCGUAGGCGGUUCCGUAAGUCAGGUGUGAAAAAUCUGGGCUCAACCCAGUGGAGCACCUGAUACUGCGGUGACUCGAGUCCGGUAGGGGAGUGUGGAAUUCCUGGUGUAGCGGUGAAAUGCGCAGAUAUCAGGAGGAACACCGAUUGCGAAGGCAGCUCGCUGGGACGUCACUGACGCUGAGACGCGAAAGCGUGGGGAGCAAACAGG